UUAUGAGGUUAUAUUGUAUAUGUCUGCAAAAAUCACAGAUUAGUGUGUGUCUCCUAGUCAGUCAUUGGUGCAAAUUAUCUAAUGUUCUACUCUAUUUCACACACAGAGCACUGCUAUUAUGGUUGGAUUAUGGUUGUACCAUCAAUAAAGAGCAUGAAUCCAGUCGUGGAGAAACCCCAGCUUAACCUUUCCAUAUGCUAUUGAUAUUUAUAGAGCUUCUGACAUAAUCAAUUAGCCUGAAAACUGACACGCACGCAAGGACAUUUCAUCCAUACAUUGCAGAAAAUGUGAACAUAAGCAGCUGCAAUAUGAGAUGAACUUUGAACACCAAAUAGAAAAAACCUUGGAAUCUCUUGAAUUCAUAUGAUCAAAGAUGACCACCAUGAAUGUGUCUGGAAGCAUUACCAAAUGACAGAAAUACCAGAGACAGUUAUACUGCAAAGAUUAAAAUAGACAUUUUUUUUAAAUUAUGCCUUCUAAAGAACACUGCUUUUUGACAAUCCAUUAAUUGUACGUAUUUUUAAUCAAACUCACUUUUGAAACAUUGCAUUUGACAUGAUACUUAUCAAAUGUUACUGUAG